rnacentral:rRNA from 1 species
CGCGAGUAAAGCGGCGAACGGGUGAGUAACACGUAAGUAACCUGCCUCUAAAUUCAGGAUAACCCAGCCAACGCCGGGCUAAUACUGAAUGUGAUUUUGCGGCCUCAUGGUUGCAUUAUUAAAGGUGACCUCUCCUUGGAAGUUGCCGUUUAGAGAUGGACUUGCGGACCAUUAGCUAGUUGGUGAGGUAACGGCCCACCAAGGCUACGAUGGUUAGCCGGCCUGAGAGGGUGAACGGCCACAUUGGGACUGAGAUACGGCCCAGACUCCUACGGGAGGCAGCAGUAGGGAAUUUUGCGCAAUGGGCGAAAGCCUGACGCAGCAACGCCGCGUGAGUGAUGAAGUCCUUCGGGAUGUAAAACUCUGUUGAGUGGGAAGAAAAGUCCGUUUUUUAACAGAUAACGGAUCUGACGGUACCAUUCGAGUAAGCACCGGCCAACUACGUGCCAGCAGCCGCGGUAAUACGUAGGGUGCAAGCGUUGUUCGGAAUUACUGGGCGUAAAGGGAGCGUAGGCGGAAUUAUAAGUUAGAAGUUUAAUGUACGGGCUUAACCCGUAAUCUGCUUCUAAUACUGUUUUUCUUGAGUAUGGGAGAGGGCAAUGGAAUUCCAGGUGUAGCGGUGGAAUGCGUAGAUAUCUGGAAGAACACCAGCAGCGAAGGCGGUUGCCUGGCCCAAUACUGACGCUGAGGCUCGAAAGCUAGGGGAGCAAACAGGAUUAGAUACCCUGGUAGUCCUAGCCGUAAACGAUGGACACUAGAUGCUGGGGAAGUUUUUUCCCAGUGUCGUAGUUAACGCGUUAAGUGUCCCGCCUGGGGAGUACGAUCGCAAGGUUGAAACUCAAAGGAAUUGACGGGGGCCCGCACAAGCGGUGGAGCAUGUGGUUUAAUUCGAUGCAACGCGAAGAACCUUACCUGGGUUUGACAUGGGGGUGCAAGUUUCCAGAGAUGGAGACCCUUCCGCAAGGAACGCCCUACACAGGUGCUGCAAGGUUGUCGUCAGCUCGUGUCGUGAGAUGUUGGGUUAAGUCCCGCAACGAGCGCAACCCUCGCCCUUAGUUGCCAUCAGGUAAUGCUGGGAACUCUAAGGGGACUGCCUGGUAUAACCAGGAGGAAGGCGGGGAUGACGUCAAAUCAUCAUGGCCCUUACGUCCAGGGCUACACACGUGCUACAAUGGUCGGUACAAAGGGUUGCAAGACUGCGAGGUCAAGCUAAUCCCAUAAAACCGAUCUCAGUUCGGAUUGGAGUCUGCAAUUCGACUCCAUGAAGCUGGAAUCGCUAGUAAUCGUGGAUCAGCAUGCCACGGUGAAUACGUUCCCGGGCCUUGUACACACCGCCCGUCAAGCCAU